GAUUAGAGGAGAAUCACCCACCUGGUGUCCCAGGUCUAAAUCAGUCCCUGAUUAGCGGAGAAUCACCCACCUGGUGUCCCAGGUCUAAAUCAGGCCCUGAUUAGAGGGGAAUCACCUACCUGAUGUCCCAGGUCUAAAUCAGUCCCCGAUUAGAGGGGAAUCACCCACCUGGUGUCCCAGGUCUAAAUCAGUCCCCGAUUAGAGGGGAAUCACCCACCUGGUGUCCCAGGUCUAAAUCAGGCCCUGAUUAGAGGGGAAUCACCCACCUGGUGUCCCAGGUCUAAAUCAGUCACUGAUUAGAGGGUAAUCACCCACCUGGUGUCCCAGGUCUAAAUCAGGCCCUGAUUAGAGGGUAAUCACCCACCUGGUGUCCCAGGUCUAAAUCAGGCCCUGAUUAGAGGGUAAUCACCCUUCUGGUGUCCC
ensembl:lncRNA